GUGCUCAUUUAAGCAGCACAUAUACCAAAAUUGGACCAUAUUGAGAUUUCCAUGACCCUUGCGAAAGAAUGACAUGCAAAUUCAUGAAGCAUUUUCAUAUUUU